rnacentral:rRNA from 1 species
UACGAAGGGGGCUAGCGUUGCUCGGAAUCACUGGGCGUAAAGGGUGCGUAGGCGGGUCUUUUAAGUCAGGGGUGAAAUCCUGGAGCUCAACUCCAGAACUGCCCUUUGAUACUGAGGAUCUUGAGUUCGGGAGAGGUGAGUGGAACUGCGAGUGUAGAGGUGAAAUUCGUAGAUAUUCGCAAGAACACCAGUGGCGAAGGCGGCUCACUGGCCCGAUACUAACGCUGAGGCACGAAAAGCGUGGGGGAGCAAACAGGG